CUAAUACAUGCAAGUCGAGCGCACCUUCGGGUGAGCGGCGGACGGGUGAGUAACGCGUGGGAACGUGCCCUUUGGUUCGGAACAACACAGGGGAAACUUGUGCUAAUACCGAAUGUGCCCUUCGGGGGAAAGAUUUAUCGCCAUUGGAGCGGCCCGCGUUGGAUUAGCUAGUUGGUGGGGUAAAGGCCCACCAAGGCGACGAUCCAUAGCUGGUCUGAGAGGAUGAUCAGCCACACUGGGACUGAGACACGGCCCAGACUCCUACGGGAGGCAGCAGUAGGGAAUCUUGCGCAAUGGGCGAAAGCCUGACGCAGCCAUGCCGCGUGAAUGAUGAAGGUCUUAGGAUUGUAAAAUUCUUUCACCGGGGAAGAUAAUGACGGUACCCGGAGAAGAAGCCCCGGCUAACUUCGUGCCAGCAGCCGCGGUAAUACGAAGGGGGCUAGCGUUGCUCGGAAUUACUGGGCGUAAAGGGCGCGUAGGCGGACAGUUUAGUCAGAGGUGAAAGCCCA
rnacentral:rRNA from 1 species